GUCCCUAAGAAUCCUGCUUUGACGGCUGAGAUUACUGUUGGGAGGUGGAAUGGAGUGCGGUGGGAUCAAAACUGAUUCCAGUGAUGGCAUCUCUGGCCCAAGACAAGGUGGGCAGUGGGGAGAGGCUGACCCUCCCCCCAUCUGUCAAUCAGUAGUGCUGGGCUGAUGUCAAAACCUUAGUAGGGGAGAGCAGUCCUAAUUUGAGAUCCUCUCUUCUCAGGGCCAGUUGGGGCUUCUCCAACUCUUCUUCCUUCAUUUGUCAGAAAAUGCGGAGACUGGAGUGGAAAUGUGGGGGUCGUCCUGGGGGCCAGGUUCCCUGCCCAGGCAGAUGUGGCCACGGUCUCAUGAGACCACAGGGCAGAAGCACCAAGGAGACACUGCAGGGCCCUGGCCCAGGAUGUGCAGGAGUUUACUCGGAAGAUCCUCUUCCGUGCUGGCUCUGGUGGUGGUUGGAACCAAAGGCCCUUGGUGAACAUGUACCCUGCUGUUAGCCACCAACAAGUCUUUAUGCAUAGCCUGUUUCUUCUCCUGUGAUGUGAACCGUCCUCCUUGUGGUCCAGAGGAGUUCUGAGCCAGACACAGUAAUGGAAGAUAUCUAGCCUAAUAAAGUCUUUGCCUUCUUGUUUAGCUUAAAAAUAUUUUGGAAAAUAUAAAAUAAAAAGAAAAGAAAAAAAUCAUUCAUAGUGCGAAUAUGGAACUAUACCACUGUUGACUUGUUGGUGCAUUUAUUUUGUGCUGUUUUCAAUAUCUUUUUGUUUGUUAUAUAUUUUUCUUUUCUUCUCCCAUCAUUUUCAUCAGGUUUCUAGUCAAUUUUUGUUGUUGUUGUUGUUUUUUGAGACAGGGUCUCACUACAUAACCCAGGCUGGCCUUGAACUUGUGGUGAUCCUCCUGCCUCAGCCUCACAAGUGCUGGGAUUCCAGGCAGGUGCCAUCAUUCCUGGUUUCCAGUUUGCUAUUAAAAAGUCUUAUUGUAUCACUUUCUCUUAUAAUGUGCUCUUCCUGAAUCUCACCUGAUAACUGCAAAAUGUUCCACUCAUAUUUUGUCUAAUUACUUAAGCAUUCAUGUUGUACCCACCUUUUCAUUAUGAUACAGUGAUUUUGAAAUAGUGUAUAUUUUCAAUUUUUUCUUUCUUUUUUUUUUUGGUACCAGGAUCGAACUCUGGACCUUGCACUUGUGAGGCAGGUGCUGGAACCACUGAGCUAAAUCCCCGGCCCUAUAUUUUCAAUUUUUAUUUCUGUUACCCUAAGAAUUCAUAAAAGUAGUUUAUAAUUCUUCAUUUGGAUAGAUUUCCCCCUCCCUUUGUUUAUAACUUUAUUGUUCUAUGGCCCUAGAAUUAGCUGUAUUUAUGUUUUUUUAGAAUUUGAAUUUUUGAUGGAUGUUGACUUUGUAACUAAUAUAGGCAUAGUUUUGCAUGAGUAAUUGGGUACAAAAUUGGAUAUAUUAGAUCAAACUUUGUGAAAUAUAUUACUCACAUUUUCUCUAUUCUUUAUAUUCAUCUACUUGAGGGCUGGGGAUUUAGCUCAGUGGCAACGUGCCUGCCUUGCAAGCACAAGGUCCUGAGUUUGAUCUCCAGUACCAGAAAAAAAAAAAAGAAAAGAAUAUAUUCACCUACUUGAUCUGUUAAUUUCUGUAAGAGUUGUAAACUUUCUACAUAUGUUUGUGGAUUUAUUAUUUCCUCUUCAUAUUUUAGCAGUUUGUGCUUUAUAUAUUACAAGGUGAUAUUAAAAAGUGUAAAAACCACAUGGCUGUUAAAAUUAUAAAUAAACAUAUUGGCAUGUUCCUCUUUUUAUGCAUUUUAAUUAUUUUCUUGGUCUAGAUUUUCAGGAGCAAGUGGCUUUUUGGGCCAAGUUGGUCUUUUACAGAUUGGACAAAUGUAUAGUAUUGGC
rnacentral:lncRNA from 1 species